rnacentral:lncRNA from 1 species
GGUCCAGCAUUGUGUGAAUAGCACACAUCAUAAUACCAUGGGAAAGCAUAUACCAACACAUGGUGCUAUGUUCUGAGGUAAACUUUCUGCGGGCUCCCUCUUGGCCUGGCUUCUUCCGUUCUCGGACACGUGGAUCGGCAGUCAGCAGUCCAGCUUGCCUCAUCCACUCGACCUCUUCCUCGGUGACAAAACUGCACAAGGCUCUGGCCACCGCCAGACGUAUGGCUCCAGCCUCGGAUGACCGGCCACCGCCCGGGACCGUGCAGGUCGUGUCGUGUUUUCCAAGUCGGUCGAGGAAGUGGAAGGGGAACAUCAACUGUUCUCUGUCUUGUGUCACUGGAAAGUAAAGCAGGGGAUUCUUCUGGAUAUGUGGGUGCAGCAACCGUGUUCUCUCAAGAAUCUGCCCCUUCUUUUUCCA